rnacentral:piRNA from 1 species
UACUGAAGCCACUUCAUCUCCUACAACUGC